rfam:Salmo salar isolate Sally breed double haploid chromosome ssa05, whole genome shotgun sequence.
UGCACUCACUACUGUAAGUCGCUCUGGAUAAGAGCGUCUACUAAAUGACUAAAA